rnacentral:rRNA from 1 species
GAUGAACGCUGGCGGCGUGCCUAAUACAUGCAAGUCGAGCGAACAGACGAGGAGCUUGCUCCUCUGACGUUAGCGGCGGACGGGUGAGUAACACGUGGAAAACCUCCCUAUAAGACUGGGAUAACUUCGGGAAACCGGAGCUAAUACCGGAUAAUAUAUUGAACCGCAUGGUUGAAUAGUGAAAGACGGUUUUGCUGUCUCUUCUAGAUGGAUCCGCGCCGCAUUAGCGAGUUGGUAAGGAAACGGCUUACCAAGGCAACGAUGCGUAGCCGCCCUGAGAGGAUGAUCGGCCACACUGGAACUGAGACACGGUCCAGACUCCUACGGGAGGCAGCAGUAGGGAAUCUUGCGCAAUGAGCGAAAGCCUGACGGAGCAACGCCGCGUGAGUGAUGAAGGUCUUCGGAUCGUAAAACUCUGUUAUUAGGGAAGAACAAAUGUGUAAGUAACUAUGCGCGUCUUGACGGUACCUAAUCAGAAAGCCACGGCUAACUACGUG